rnacentral:lncRNA from 1 species
AUGUCAGAAUGGUUCAUUCUCCGUGAUCAACCACGUUAUGAUAGUCAGGUAGGAGGAAAUAGUGGAUCUGUAGGUAGUGGAUCUAAGAGAGCCCACGAGAGUGAUGCAAGUGAUUCCAACUCCGUAGAAUCUAGUGCUCGCCCAAUGGGGAAGAAUGCAACAAAAAAAGGUACUGAGGCUAAGAAGAUGAAGAUGUCUAUGAAGCUAAGUUCAAAGGAGCAUCUUGAUGACCGGAGCAAAGAGUUGUUGGAAAAGUUGGGUCGCGAUCUGUUUGGAAAUUAA